rnacentral:tRNA from 1 species
CGAGAGGACCACCAAGCACCCGUGGCCUAAUGGAUAAGGCGUCUGACUUCUAAUCAGGCGAUUGUCGGUUCGAGUCCCACCGGGUGUGU